rnacentral:rRNA from 1 species
GACGAACUUUGGCGGCGUGCUUAACACAUGCAAGUCGAACGGAAAGGCCCUGCUUUUGUGGGGUGCUCGAGUGGCGAACGGGUGAGUAACACGUGAGUAACCUGCCCUUGACUUUGGGAUAACUUCAGGAAACUGGGGCUAAUACCGGAUAGGAGCUCCUGCUGCAUGGUGGGGGUUGGAAUGUUUCGGCGGUUGGGGAUGGACUCGCGGCUUAUCAGCUUGUUGGUGGGGUAGUGGCUUACCAAGGCUUUGACGGGUAGCCGGCCUGAGAGGGUGACCGGCCACAUUGGGACUGAGAUACGGCCCAGACUCCUACGGGAGGCAGCAGUGGGGAAUAUUGCACAAUGGGCGGAAGCCUGAUGCAGCAACGCCGCGUGCGGGAUGACGGCCUUCGGGUUGUAAACCGCUUUCGCCUGUGACGAAGCGUGAGUGACGGUAAUGGGUAAAGAAGCACCGGCUAACUACGUGCCAGCAGCCGCGGUGAUACGUAGGGUGCGAGCGUUGUCCGGAUUUAUUGGGCGUAAAGGGCUCGUAGGUGGUUGAUCGCGUCGGAAGUGUAAUCUUGGGGCUUAACCCUGAGCGUGCUUUCGAUACGGGUUGACUUGAGGAAGGUAGGGGAGAAUGGAAUUCCUGGUGGAGCGGUGGAAUGCGCAGAUAUCAGGAGGAACACCAGUGGCGAAGGCGGUUCUCUGGGCCUUUCCUGACGCUGAGGAGCGAAAGCGUGGGGAGCGAACAGGCUUAGAUACCCUGGUAGUCCACGCUGUAAACGGUGGGUACUAGGUGUGGGGUCCAUUCCACGGGUUCCGUGCCGUAGCUAACGCUUUAAGUACCCCGCCUGGGGAGUACGGCCGCAAGGCUAAAACUCAAAGGAAUUGACGGGGCCCCGCACAAGCGGCGGAGCAUGCGGAUUAAUUCGAUGCAACGCGUAGAACCUUACCUGGGUUUGACAUGGAUCGGGAGUGCUCAGAGAUGGGUGUGCCUCUUUUGGGGUCGGUUCACAGGUGGUGCAUGCCUGUCGUCAGCUCGUGUCGUGAGAUGUUGGGUUAAGUCCCGCAACGAGCGCAACCCUUGUUCACUGUUGCCAGCACGUUAUGGUGGGGACUCAGUGGAGACCGCCGGGGUCAACUCGGAGGAAGGUGGGGAUGACGUCAAGUCAUCAUGCCCCUUAUGUCCAGGGCUUCACGCAUGCUACAAUGGCUGGUACAGAGAGUGGCGAGCCUGUGAGGGUGAGCGAAUCUCGGAAAGCCGGUCUCAGUUCGGAUUGGGGUCUGCAACUCGACCUCAUGAAGUCGGAGUCGCUAGUAAUCGCAGAACAGCAACGCUGCGGUGAAUACGUUCCCGGGGCU